rnacentral:lncRNA from 1 species
GAAGCAAGCCAGUCAAGAACAUCCCUCCAUGGCCUCUGCAUCAGCUUCUGCUUCCUGACCUGUUUGAGUUCCAGUCCUGACUUCCUUCAGUGAUGAACAGCAGUAUGGAAGUCGUAUAUCCCCAGGACUCCUUCAGGACAUCCUGGACACUCACGACUUUCCAAGGAGAUCCAUCCCCUUCUUCACCAUCCAUCAAUCACAGUUCCAGGGAGCCACCCUUCAUGAAGUGCUGCUGGGAAAGUCUUUCAGCUUUCAUGUCCUUUAAUACAGUGGCAGUGUGACCAUGUGCCUCGUGAUGAAUGGAUGAUGUGUUUCAGCUGGUGAGCUACAAAGUUCUGGGCUGGGAAAAAAGACUGUGGGCACACUCAGAGCUCUCUAGUUCUCCCACGGUGCUCAGCUUAUCAUUCAAAACCCCAUGUAUCAAAUUUCUGACCUAAUUGUAUUUAUUGUGCUACAAAUGUUCAACUACCUGGUAACACUGAGUAUGAGAGGGUAGCUUGAGAAACUAUCCUGGAUGCAGUUGGACUGGAUGCAAUGUCCUGCCUUGGCCGUCUUCUAGGUGCAUGGUCUAUAUUACCAGGUUCACACUAUCUAGGAAUCCUAGCCACCGUGUGGUGUACCUAGUGACUGCUUCCCUGGUGUCUGAGCCCGUGUAGCUUUGAGUCUGCUGUAGGUGUAGUGGAUGGAUUCAAGGACAGCAUUCCAGUUCAGCAAGCCUAACCAUCGCCAUCACUGGAGAGUAAGGAGAGACCAGGAACACUGUAACCACUCAUAGACACCCAGUGCCCCCACAUUUUGUCAUCAGCGUCUGGAGUGUGUGUCACUGUGUGUUACUUUCAAGGCCCCUCUUUUGUACUUUAAAAUAAUUCAGUCCUAGAUUUUGCUUCUCACAAAAAAAUUGUAUUGAAGGAUUUUCUUUUUAAGAAUGUAUUUAUUUCUUUAAAAUAUAUUGCUGCACUCUGGUCUCAAAAAUGGGCAGAAAGUCACUGUCUGCUUGUUUUCUAAAGAUCUUAGAUUUAUGGGGAAAGGUGACAGAUUGAACCCAGAGACUGUGUGUGAAGUACAAGGACUGUAUAUAGUAAUCAAGUUCUUUAAGUAGGACUCACAAUGUAUGAGGAGACCUUGGCUACUCUUAUCAUAAAAAUACCCCAAGGGGGUCACUAUGUGUGUGACACCACAUGAUGAUGGUUAUACAUCAUUGCUGUAUACCUUAAGUAUAUGCAAUAAUGCUUACUAAAAAGAAGUACAUUGGAUUAAAGGGAAAUCCCUCUCAUAAAAGCAAGCAUCACUGUAAGAUUUGUGCAGUGCAAUUUAAGCAACAAACUGAAGGAACAGGAGGAGAGAAGUGAGAAGUGGGAAAUCACUGAUUUAACUUCUAAAGGUCUCUUAGAGUUGUAUGUGGUGCUGAAGUGUUUUAUAUAUCCUCAUAUUUUGAAAUGCAAUUAUUUGCUUGGAGAUAACAAGAUACCCAGACAAAUUUUAAUGAAUAAAAUGUUAUUGCCUAAAAUAAAGCAAACCACAGACUCUUCUGAUUCUGUAUUGUAAGCUGCAAAAACAAUACUGCAAAGUUUUCUGGAAGCAUUUAGAUUUAAAAUUCAAGGUUUGUCUGCUGCAAUAUGUGUUUUAAGCAGGAAAAAGCAUGAUAUUCUUAGAGUCUCUUAAGGCUGGAACAAGGUCAAGACUAUACAUUCUUUCUUGUGGAAUGCUGAGUCCUUCUACCACUUGAAAAGAACAUUUGCCGCGAAGCAUUCGACUGAUGUGAAGCAUUUUAAAUAAUUGGUAAAAAUAGUUUCCUCUGAUGAGCUGUAAAUUCUCACACCGCCAUGCGGUGGGGCUGGUGGACAAAGGUUGGUUCAUGGCUUUUGCUUUUUGGAUCGUUGCUAUGUGUGAAAUGUCAGCUUUUGUAGUUCUUACUAGCUUGUUAAGUCUGAUAAAUUUCCUGCUUACUUUUAUAUUUCUAUUGAAAAAUUCUUGCACUGCAUCAUAGUAACUUAGUUCUUCAAGAGUUGCAGAGACAUAUGAUGGUAACAACCAAGAAAUUACCUCACAAAAAGGCAGCUAUGGGACAUGGCAUCUAUAGUGCAACCUUAAUGCCUAGGCAGUAUCUUUUAUUUUUAACAAAGCACACCAUUAGUGAGACAUAAUCCAUGCUGUGCUGGUGCAUGCUGUUAAUUCUAGGACUCAGGAAGCAGAGGCACAUGGAUCUGUGGGAGUUUGAGGCCAGCCUGUGAUGACACAGUGAAUUCUAGGACAUCUAGAGCAGCAGAGUGGGACCCUGUAUCAAAACAAAUAAAUAAAAGAUAUUGUAC